UACGGUCUGCGGUGUUCGGAGUUUGGCAUAAAACGGAACCCACAAUGAUGAAAAGGGAGCAAGUUAUUCGUUGCGAUAGACAAGGUCUGUUAUACGGAAAGUUCGAUGCGCAAAGAUGCGGCACCCACCUGCGAGAAGCGGGUUCAUCUUUUUGUCAAGCUGCGGCACAGGCGGAUUGUAA
rnacentral:other from 1 species